CCUACGGGAGGCAGCAGCGAGGAACCUUCCACAAUGGGCGCAAGCCCGAUGGAGCAACGCCGCGUGGAGGACGACGGCCUUCGGGUUGUAAACUCCUUUCGGGGGGGAUGAAACGGACAGUACCCCCAGAAGCAGCCCCGGCUAACUCUGUGCCAGCAGCCGCGGUAAUACAGAGGGGGCAAGCGUUGUCCGGAAUUACUGGGCGUACAGCGCGCGCAGGCGGUCCUUUAAGUCUGAUGUGAAAGCCCACGGCUCAACCGUGGAGGGUCAUUGGAAACUGGGGGACUUGAGUGCAGAAGAGGAAAGCGGAAUUCCAAGUGUAGCGGUGAAAUGCGUAGAGAUUUGGAGGAACACCAGUGGCGAAGGCGGCUUUCUGGUCUGUAACUGACGCUGAGGCGCGAAAGCGUGGGGAGCAAACAGGAUUAGAUACCCUGGUAGUCCACGCCGUAAACGAUGAGUGCUAAGUGUUAGGGGGUUUCCGCCCCUUAGUGCUGCAGCUAACGCAUUAAGCACUCCGCCUGGGGAGUACGGUCGCAAGACUGAAACUCAAAGGAAUUGACGGGGGCCCGCACAAGCGGUGGAGCAUGUGGUUUAAUUCGGAGCAACGCGAAGAACCUUACCAGGUCUUGACAUCCCGCUGACCGACCUAGAGAUAGGCUUUUCCCUUCGGGGACAGCGGUGACAGGUGGUGCAUGGUUGUCGUCAGCUCGUGUCGUGAGAUGUUGGGUUAAGUCCCGCAACGAGCGCAACCCUUGAUCUUAGUUGCCAGCAUUCAGUUGGGCACUCUAAGGUGACUGCCGGUGAUAAACCGGAGGAAGGUGGGGAUGACGUCAAAUCAUCAUGCCCCUUAUGACCUGGGCUACACACGUGCUACAACUGUACGGUACAGAGGGUCGCAACCCCGCGAC
rnacentral:rRNA from 1 species